GACGAACGCUGGCGGCGUGCUUAACACAUGCAAGUCGAACGGAAAGGCCCUGCUUUUGUGGGGUGCUCGAGUGGCGAACGGGUGAGUAACACGCGAGUAACCUGCCCUUGACUUUGGGAUAACUUCAGGAAACUGGGGCUAAUACCGGAUAGGAGCUCCUGCUGCAUGGUGGGGGUUGGAAAGUUUCGGCGGUUGGGGAUGGACUCGCGGCUUAUCAGCUUGUUGGUGGGGUAGUGGCUUACCAAGGCUUUGACGGGUAGCCGGCCUGAGAGGGUGACCGGCCACAUGGGGACUGAGAUACGGCCCAGACUCCUACGGGAGGCAGCAGGGGGGAAUAUUGCACAAGGGGCGGAAGCCUGAUGCAGCAACGCCGCGUGCGGGAUGACGGCCUUCGGGUUGUAAACCGCUUUCGCCUGUGACGAAGCGUGAGUGACGGUAAUGGGUAAAGAAGCACCGGCUAACUACGU
rnacentral:rRNA from 1 species